rnacentral:tRNA from 1 species
GGUUGUAGCUCAGUGGUAGAGCACUUGCCUCACAUGUGUGAGGUCCUGGGUUCGAUACCUAGCACCA